GACAGAGGUGCCAAGCGUUAGGCGGAAUCACUGGGCUUAAAGCGUGUGUAGGCGGACUGGUAAGUACCUUGUGAAAUCCCACGGCUCAACCGUGGAACUGCUCGGUAUACUGCUUAUCUUGGGUCAUCUAGGGGCGAGCGGAACAAACGGUGGAGCGGUGAAAUGCGUAGAUAUCGUAAGGAAGACCAGUGGCGAAGGCGGGUCUCUGGACAGUUCCUGACGCUGAGGCACGAAGGUCAGGGGAGCAAACGGG
rnacentral:rRNA from 1 species